rnacentral:rRNA from 1 species
AUACCCUAUUAUUUUUAAUGUAAAAAAUGAGCUGGAGUAAUAUUAGAUAUGGUCUUGAAACUUAAAGAAUUUGGCGGUAGUAUAGUCUAUUUAGAGGAAUCUGUUAUGUAAUCGAUAGUCCACGUUGAACCUUACUUUUAUUAAUUUCUUGUAUACCGCUGUUUAGUGAAUAUACUUAGAGGUUAUUUUCAGAAUAAUAAAUUAAUUAAGAUUUCAAGUCAAGGUGCAGUAAUAUAAAAGUUGAAUAAUGGAUUACAAUAAAUUUUAUUUAUAUGGAUAAUUUUUGUUAAAAAAGAAUUAGAAGGUGGAUUUAAUUGUAAUUUUUGAUAAGAGUAGAAAAAUGAUUUUAGCUCUAUAAUAUGUACACAUCGCCC